UACAGAGGGUGCGAGCGUUAAUCGGAAUUACUGGGCGUAAAGCGUGCGCAGACGGUUGCGUAAGUCAGAUGUGAAAGCCCCGGGCUCAACCUGGGAAUUGCAUUUGAGACUGCGUAGCUAGGGUGCGGAAGAGGGAAGCGGAAUUUCCGGUGUAGCGGUGAAAUGCGUAGAUAUCGGAAGGAACGCCGGUGGCGAAAGCGACACACUGGGUCUCAACUGACGCUGAGGCACGAAAGCCAGGGGAGCGAGCGGG
rnacentral:rRNA from 1 species